GGUUAAGCGACUAAGCGUACACGGUGGAUGCCCUGGCAGUCAGAGGCGAUGAAGGACGUGCUAAUCUGCGAUAAGCGCCGGUAAGGUGAUAUGAACCGUUAUAACCGGCGAUUUCCGAAUGGGGAAACCCAGUGUGACUCGUCACACUAUCAUUAACUGAAUCCAUAGGUUAAUGAGGCGAACCGGGGGAACUGAAACAUCUAAGUACCCCGAGGAAAAGAAAUCAACCGAGAUUCCCCCAGUAGCGGCGAGCGAACGGGGAGGAGCCCAGAGCCUGAAUCAGCAUGUGUGUUAGUGGAAGCGUCUGGAAAGGCGCGCGAUACAGGGUGACAGCCCCGUACACAAAAGCGCAUGUGCUGUGAGCUCGAUGAGUAGGGCGGGACACGUGGUAUCCUGUCUGAAUAUGGGGGGACCAUCCUCCAAGGCUAAAUACUCCUGACUGACCGAUAGUGAACCAGUACCGUGAGGGAAAGGCGAAAAGAACCCCGGCGAGGGGAGUGAAAAAGAACCUGAAACCGUGUACGUACAAGCAGUGGGAGCACAGGUUUACCUGUGUGACUGCGUACCUUUUGUAUAAUGGGUCAGCGACUUAUAUUCUGUAGCAAGGUUAACCGUAUAGGGGAGCCGGAGGGAAACCGAGUCUUAAUUGGGCGUUAAGUUGCAGGGUAUAGACCCGAAACCCGGUGAUCUAGCCAUGGGCAGGUUGAAGGUUGGGUAACACUAACUGGAGGACCGAACCGACUAAUGUUGAAAAAUUAGCGGAUGACCUGUGGCUGGGGGUGAAAGGCCAAUCAAACCGGGAGAUAGCUGGUUCUCCCCGAAAGCUAUUUAGGUAGCGCCUCGUGAAUUCAUCUCCGGGGGUAGAGCACUGUUUCGGCUAGGGGGCCAUCCCGGCUUACCAACCCGAUGCAAACUGCGAAUACCGGAGAAUGUUAUCACGGGAGACACACGGCGGGUGCUAACGUCCGUCGUGAAGAGGGAAACAACCCAGACCGCCAGCUAAGGUCCCAAAGUCAUGGUUAAGUGGGAAACGAUGUGGGAAGGCCCAGACAGCCAGGAUGUUGGCUUAGAAGCAGCCAUCAUUUAAAGAAAGCGUAAUAGCUCACUGGUCGAGUCGGCCUGCGCGGAAGAUGUAACGGGGCUAAACCAUGCACCGAAGCUGCGGCAGCGAACGUAUCACCCAAGACAACUUUACGGAGUUGACGAUUGACGGAGCGAAGCGACGUCAAAGCGUUCAUUAAAGUCGAGUUGGCUUAGGGAUACGUUCGUUGGGUAGGGGAGCGUUCUGUAAGCCUGUGAAGGUGUGUCGUGAGGCAUGCUGGAGGUAUCAGAAGUGCGAAUGCUGACAUAAGUAACGAUAAAGCGGGUGAAAAGCCCGCUCGCCGGAAGACCAAGGGUUCCUGUCCAACGUUAAUCGGGGCAGGGUGAGUCGACCCCUAAGGCGAGGCCGAAAGGCGUAGUCGAUGGGAAACGGGUUAAUAUUCCCGUACUUGGUGUUACUGCGAAGGGGGGACGGAGAAGGCUAUGUUGGCCGGGCGACGGUUGUCCCGGUUUAAGCGUGUAGGCUGGUUUUCCAGGCAAAUCCGGAAAAUCAAGGCUGAGGCGUGACGACGAGGCACUACGGUGCUGAAGCAACAAAUGCCCUGCUUCCAGGAAAAGCCUCUAAGCAUCAGGUAACAUCAAAUCGUACCCCAAACCGACACAGGUGGUCAGGUAGAGAAUACCAAGGCGCUUGAGAGAACUCGGGUGAAGGAACUAGGCAAAAUGGUGCCGUAACUUCGGGAGAAGGCACGCUGACAUGUAGGUGAAGUGAUUUACUCAUGGAGCUGAAGUCAGUCGAAGAUACCAGCUGGCUGCAACUGUUUAUUAAAAACACAGCACUGUGCAAACACGAAAGUGGACGUAUACGGUGUGACGCCUGCCCGGUGCCGGAAGGUUAAUUGAUGGGGUCAGCGCAAGCGAAGCUCCUGAUCGAAGCCCCGGUAAACGGCGGCCGUAACUAUAACGGUCCUAAGGUAGCGAAAUUCCUUGUCGGGUAAGUUCCGACCUGCACGAAUGGCGUAAUGAUGGCCAGGCUGUCUCCACCCGAGACUCAGUGAAAUUGAACUCGCUGUGAAGAUGCAGUGUACCCGCGGCAAGACGGAAAGACCCCGUGAACCUUUACUAUAGCUUGACACUGAACAUUGAGCCUUGAUGUGUAGGAUAGGUGGGAGGCUUUGAAGCGUGGACGCCAGUCUGCGUGGAGCCGACCUUGAAAUACCACCCUUUAAUGUUUGAUGUUCUAACGUGGACCCGUAAUCCGGGUUGCGGACAGUGUCUGGUGGGUAGUUUGACUGGGGCGGUCUCCUCCUAAAGAGUAACGGAGGAGCACGAAGGUUGGCUAAUCCUGGUCGGACAUCAGGAGGUUAGUGCAAUGGCAUAAGCCAGCUUGACUGCGAGCGUGACGGCGCGAGCAGGUGCGAAAGCAGGUCAUAGUGAUCCGGUGGUUCUGAAUGGAAGGGCCAUCGCUCAACGGAUAAAAGGUACUCCGGGGAUAACAGGCUGAUACCGCCCAAGAGUUCAUAUCGACGGCGGUGUUUGGCACCUCGAUGUCGGCUCAUCACAUCCUGGGGCUGAAGUAGGUCCCAAGGGUAUGGCUGUUCGCCAUUUAAAGUGGUACGCGAGCUGGGUUUAGAACGUCGUGAGACAGUUCGGUCCCUAUCUGCCGUGGGCGCUGGAGAACUGAGGGGGGCUGCUCCUAGUACGAGAGGACCGGAGUGGACGCAUCACUGGUGUUCGGGUUGUCAUGCCAAUGGCACUGCCCGGUAGCUAAAUGCGGAAGAGAUAAGUGCUGAAAGCAUCUAAGCACGAAACUUGCCCCGAGAUGAGUUCUCCCUGAGACUUUAGGUCUCCUGAAGGAACGUUGAAGACGACGACGUUGAUAGGCCGGGUGUGUAAGCGCAGCGAUGCGUUGAGCUAACCGGUACUAAUGAACCGUGAGGCUUAACCUU
rnacentral:rRNA from 1 species